AGCCCAUGCCCUGGUUUCCAGCUCAGAUCACUGAACCGAAAAUGUGCCUGUCCACGGAGACUUUCACCUUAGACGGCAGUCAGAUGCCUUCUUGUCUUUUACAUCUCUCCUCUGCUCUGAUACUUCGCCCUUGAAAGCAGGCUUCUGAGUGGCUCGGUAGUUGAAGCUGAUGGACUGCUCUUACCCUUGGAACUCAGCCACUGGGCUCUGAAAAAGUCUGAGCCAGCCCAUGUGGAGAGGCCCUUGUGAAGAGGACCUGAGACCCUCCAGCCAGCUCUCAGCAUCAACUUCCAGACUGCCUUCCCUGGUGGUUUAAAGGUUAAAGCGUCUGCCUCCAACGCGGGAGACCUGGUUUCGAUCCCUGGGUCGGGAAGAUCCCCUGGAGAAGGAAUUGGUAACCCACUCCAGUAUUCUUGCCUGGAGAAUCCCAUGAACGGAGAAGCCUGGUAGGCUACAGGCUACAGGCCAUGGGAUCCCAAAGAGUCGGACACGACUGAGCAACUUCACUUUCACUUUCCUUUUCCGCCGCAGGACCUUUGUACAUAGGCUUUCCUUUUAUCUUAUGUUACCUCCAUGCCUCAGCCCCCAGAUAAUCCAGAAAUUCUUUCCUCAGAACUCAGUUCAAUCAUCAUUCCUUCCUAACAGAUUUCUCUGUCCUCCCUGACUAGAUCAAUUGUAGCAUUUUAAUAUAACUGUCUCUAGCCAUCAGUUACUUACUUCUAUGUUUUUGUUCUUUCUCUCUUUCUCCCUAUCCCCUAUAUCCAUUUAAUUUCUAUCUCCCCCUCUAGACUAAACUCUAAGAACAUAGAAAUCAUGUCUUUUUUCUAUGUUCAACAAUGCCCACUUAACACUUAGCACAAUUCCUGGUAUGUAAAAGAUGCCUAAUAAGUGAAUAAAU
ensembl:lncRNA